rnacentral:rRNA from 1 species
GACGAACGCUGGCGGCGUGCUUAACACAUGCAAGUCGAACGGAAAGGCCCUGCUUUUGUGGGGUGCUCGAGUGGCGAACGGGUGAGUAACACGUGAGUAACCUGCCCUUGACUUUGGGAUAACUUCAGGAAACUGGGGCUAAUACCGGAUAGGAGCUCCUGCUGCAUGGUGGGGGUUGGAAAGUUUCGGCGGUUGGGGAUGGACUCGCGGCUUAUCAGCUUGUUGGUGGGGUAGUGGCUUACCAAGGCUUUGACGGGUAGCCGGCCUGAGAGGGUGACCGGCCACCUUGGGAAUGAGAUACGGCCCAGAAUCCUACGGGAGGCAGCAGUGGGGAAUAUUGCACAAUGGGCGGAAGCCUGAUGCAGCAACGCCGCGUGCGGGAUGAAGGCCUUCGGGUUGUAAACCGCUUUCGCCUGUGACGAAGCGUGAGUGACGGUAAUGGGUAAAGAAGCACCGGCUAACUACGUG